UUAUUUGAUUUAGUGUAUCCACUCAGACGGCAACCUCAAGGCAGCGUUUGGGGGGUCUUCGGCGGGCGCGGGCCCGGGGACGGAGUGUCCCCCGGCGGCCAGACGGCGGGCCCGCCGAAGCAACAGGUACGGUAAACACGGGUGGGAGUUCGGGCAGCAGCCGCACGAGGGGCGCGCCCGGUUCACUCGGUAAUGAUCCUUCCGCAGGUUCACCUACGGAAA
rnacentral:misc_RNA from 1 species